rnacentral:rRNA from 1 species
GACGAACGCUGGCGGCGUGCUUAACACAUGCAAGUCGAACGGAAAGGCCCCUUUGGGGGUACUCGAGUGGCGAACGGGUGAGUAACACGUGAGUAACCUGCCCUUGACUUCGGGAUAACUUCAGGAAACUGGGGCUAAUACCGGAUAGGAAUCCUUGCUGCAUGGUGGGGGUUGGAAAGCUUCGGCGGUUUUGGAUGGACUCGCGGCUUAUCAGCUUGUUGGUGGGGUAGUGGCUUACCAAGGCUUUGACGGGUAGCCGGCCUGAGAGGGCGACCGGCCACAUUGGGACUGAGGUACGGCCCAGACUCCUACGGGAGGCAACAGUGGGGAAUAUUGCACAAUGGGCGGAAGCCUGAUGCAGCAACGCCGCGUGCGGGAUGACGGCCUUCGGGUUGUAAACCGCUUUCAGCAGGAGCGAAGCUUGUGGUGACGGUACCUGCAGAAGAAGCACCGGCUAACUACGUG